rnacentral:lncRNA from 1 species
AAUGGGUAUCAGGUGUUGUGCCUCAAUGUUGGAAAGCUAACUACGACAUCCUGUCAAGAGAGCAACUGGAUAAGUUGCUGCUCCCAGGGGCUCCCAAGAAGGGAUGAUAUUUGUGUGGUUCUGUGGAUGCCCAGAGAUGCCCCAUUUGAGGCAACUGAUCAUCACAGAUGCUGAGAUGGGCAAAUAAUAUAUUACGAUCGAUGACAAUUUGUUAUCAUUGACCCAAGAGAAACUUUGGAGUUGAAAAAUAAAUUCUACUUUAUAUGUGAGAGCAAUUAUUGGAUCUCGAUUAAAUGAGAUUUAUAAGAAUUCUGUGAAUUAGUCUAGUCUUUUCUUAAAAGCCACCCAAUGAAUACUUUGUUGGUGAUUGCUGAUACAGUGUGACCCAAUUUGGAUCGCUCUGGAAAAUAACUGAGUCAGUUUUAUCCAUGUAUGAUAAGAAUGAAAUAAAUGUUAAACAUAUCAAUAUAACCCACUAGGAUCA